UAACACAUACUUGUCAAAAUUGCCUAGAACGAGGCCAUAAUCGGGGAGCACGUAAAAAUCCAAAAGAUCCAAGGUCCAAGUUGUACAAGUUACAUGUAGUUAUCAUGGUUUUAUAUGCUUAUAAUUCUUACUGCAAGCUUUUAAUGUGUGUAUCUGUUUGUUUGUGAUAGGAAAAUCCUAGAAGAGAGGAAGUGAAAAAUUCUCAAAAUGCUCCUCCAUUUUCUAGUCAAACAACACCUUCUGCAUCUACUUCUGUUACACAUCAAACAAUACCUAGAUCUGUUGCAUAGUCAAGGAAAACUCCAUUUGUUACACAAUCAAGUGCAAGGGCGGGUCCAUUUGUUGCAAACUCAAAUGCAAGGACAAUACCAUCUAUUGCGGUCCAUCUGCUGCACCUCCACAAAAAAGGAAAGGUUACAAUUAAAGUUAAUUUUAUAAUUUUUUUAAAAUAAACUGCAACUCAUGUUCAUUUUAUUAUUGUUUUCCAACAUUAAUAUUACCUUACUGGUUAUUAUUUAGGUAUAUGUUGGAAGAAGAAAUGAAGUAUGGUUAGGAAAAUGUAAGAAGUUCAACAAACCAGGUCAAAACCACCAGCUCCCCCAUCAGCUCCAUCAACACCAAUGUUAUUAGAACCAGACUGGACCGGCCGGUCGAACCGGUUCAACCGGGAACCGGCGCCUAUCCGGUCUGGUUCAUCAUUAAAACCGGGGAAAUGAAAAACCGAGGUCAGAUGCCUGAACCGAAAAAAUCGCCCAAUUGGACCGGAAAAGAAAAAAAUCGGUGAAACGCUGGUUUUCACAAUAUAUGCUAUUUUAUCACCCCAAAUGGAAAAUAUCUGAUUUUUUUAAUAAAUGAAACUUACACACGAACUUACGCAGGUUAUGAAAUUAUGUGUAGAACUUGAAGAAUUUGAAUUUAUUUCCUUCUGGGGUUAAAGAGAACCUCAGAUCUAUAUCAAAGAGAUAUAUCCAAUUAAGAUUGUCGAUCAAAAGGCUGAAGCUUAGGGCCGCUAAGAUGUGGCUUUGUGG
rnacentral:lncRNA from 1 species